GAUGAACGCUGGCGGCGUGCCUAACACAUGCAAGUCGAGCGGCAGCGAGGGGUGCUUGCACCCUGCCGGCGAGCGGCGGACGGCUGAGUAACGCGUGGGAACGUUCCCCAAAGUGAGGAAUAACUGCCCGAAAGGGUAGCUAAUACCGCAUAUUAUCUUCGGAUCAAAGGAUUUAUCCGCUUUGGGAGCGGCUCGCGUCGGAUUCGGUAGUUGGUGAGGUAAUGGCUCACCAAGCCGACGAUCCGUAGCUGGUCUGAGAGGAUGACCAGCCAGACUGGAACUGAGACACGGCCCAGACUCCUACGGGAAGCAGCAGUGAGGAAUCUUCCACAAUGGGCGAAAGCAUGAUGGAGCAACGCCGCGUGCAGGACGAAGGCAUUCGGGUUGUAAACUGCUUUUAUAAGUGAGGAAUAUGACGGUAACUGAUGAAUAAGGAUCGGCUAACUACGUG
rnacentral:rRNA from 1 species